CUGGCUUAGUCUCUAGCUUCACUACGUUCUUCAGCAAUAUCUUAACAUGUUUUCCUAACAGUGACUUUACUGACUCUGCAAAAAUAAAAAAAAGUUCUAGAAUACGCAGUAAAUACAAUUGAUUGGAUCUUAUUAGAAGAAGACACUGACGGAAGGUAUUGCAUUCGACAUACUUUUCAUGUGAUUUCACACAAGGAUUCAACAGAUGGAAUAAAAAGAAUGCAAUUACUGAAAGUGCAUACACUGUAUGAUGUCCAGAGAGAAAUAAAGUCGAUUAAGUGGAACAAGUUUGGGAAGGCCAAUUUUAGUUGAUGAAAUUGGGACUGCAAUUCAUCAAUUGCCUUGUACUACUAAGCACAACAGUGUGAAAAGUAACUUGGACAAGUACACUGAUAUGCAUGUACCUAUGAUUGAAGAUAAUUCUUUUUCCAUGAUUUAAUAAAAAAAAUUUGUUUACAAUAA
rnacentral:lncRNA from 1 species